GGGGCCCGCACAAGCGGUGGAGCAUGUGGUUUAAUUCGAAGCAACGCGAAGAACCUUACCAGGUCUUGACAUCCCCUGACAACCCGAGAGAUCGGGCGUUCCCCUUCGGGGUGACAGGGAGACAGGUGGUGCAUGGUUGUCGUCAGCUCGUGUCGUGAGAUGUUGGGUUUAAGUCCCGCAACGAGCGCAACCCCUACGUUUAGUUGCUAACGCGUGAAGGCGAGCACUCUAGACGAACUGCCGUUGACAAAACGGAGGAAGGUGGGAUGACGUCAAAUCAUCAUGCCCCUUAUGUUCUGGGCUACACACGUGCUACAAUGGCCGGUACAGACGGACGCAAAGCCGCGAGGUGGAGCAAAUCCUAAAAAGCCGGUCUCAGUUCGGAUUGCAGGCUGCAAUUCGCCUGCAUGAAGUCGGAAUCGCUAGUAAUCGCAGGUCAGCAUACUGCGGUGAAUACGUUCCCGGGCCUU
rnacentral:rRNA from 1 species